UACUACGGAGAGUUUGAUCCUGGCUCAGGAUGAACGCUAGCGGGAGGCUUAACACAUGCAAGUCGAGGGGCAUCGCGGAGUAGCAAUAUUCUGGCGGCGACCGGCGCACGGGUGAGUAACGCGUAUGCAACCUACCCCGAACAGGGGGAUAACCCGGGGAAAUCCGGACUAAUACCCCAUAACGAUCGUAACGGGCAUCCGUUUCGGUCCAAAGCGGCGACGCGGUACGGGACGGGCAUGCGUAACAUUAGCUAGUUGGUGGGGCAACGGCCCACCAAGGCGACGAUGUUUAGGGGACCUGAGAGGGUGAUCCCCCACACUGGUACUGAGACACGGACCAGACUCCUACGGGAGGCAGCAGUGAGGAAUAUUGGUCAAUGGGCGGGAGCCUGAACCAGCCAUCCCGCGUGAAGGAAGACUGCGCUAAGCGUUGUAAACUUCUUUUCAGGGGGAAGAAUUGUCCCGACGCGUCGGGGCUUGCCGGUACCCUUGGAAUAAGCAUCGGCUAACUCCGUGCCAGCAGCCGCGGUAAUACGGAGGAUGCGAGCGUUAUCCGGAUUUAUUGGGUUUAAAGGGUGCGUAGGCGGGCCGGUAAGUCAGCGGUGAAAUCCCAUGGCUCAACCAUGGAAUUGCCGUUGAAACUGUCGGUCUUGAAUAUGGUCAAGGUAGGCGGAAUGCGUAAUGUAGCGGUGAAAUGCUUAGAUAUUACGCGGAACACCUAUUGCGAAGGCAGCUUGCUGGGCCAGUAUUGACGCUGAGGCACGAAAGCGUGGGGAGCGAACAGGAUUAGAUACCCUGGUAGUCCACGCCGUAAACUAUGAUCACUCGCUGUUGGCGACACACAGUCAGCGGCCAAGCGAAAGCGUUAAGUGAUCCACCUGGGGAGUACGGCCGCAAGGCUGAAACUCAAAGGAAUUGACGGGGGCCCGCACAAGCGGAGGAACAUGUGGUUUAAUUCGAUGAUACGCGAGGAACCUUACCUGGGCUUGAAUGCACGGUGCAUGGGGGGGAGACCCUUCUUUCCUUCGGGACUCCGUGCAAGGUGCUGCAUGGUUGUCGUCAGCUCGUGCCGUGAGGUGUCGGGUUAAGUCCCAUAACGAGCGCAACCCUUACCGUUAGUUGCCAUCGGGUAGAGCCGGGGACUCUAGCGGAACUGCCACCGUAAGGUGCGAGGAAGGUGGGGAUGACGUCAAAUCAGCACGGCCCUUACAUCCAGGGCUACACACGUGUUACAAUGGCCGGUACAAAGGGCAGCUACACAGCGAUGUGAUGCUAAUCUCUAAAGCCGGUCUCAGUUCGGAUCGAAGUCUGCAACCCGACUUCGUGAAGCUGGAUUCGCUAGUAAUCGC
rnacentral:rRNA from 1 species